GGGCCAGUAGGUUGGUCGUGCCACCGGUACGUACUGGUCUCACUGAUUCCUCCUUCCUGAAGAACCGUAAUGCCAUUAAUUUGGUGUUGCGGGGAAACAGGACUGUUACUUUGAAAAAAUUAGAGUGUUUAAAGCAAGCUAACGCUUGAAUACAUAGCAUGGAAUAAUGAAAUAGGACGAUCGAUCCUAUUUUGUUGGUUUCUAGGAUUGACGUA
rnacentral:rRNA from 1 species